rnacentral:rRNA from 1 species
UACGUAGGGGGCAAGCGUUGUCCGGAUUUAUUGGGCGUAAAGCGCGUGUAGGCGGCCAGAUAGGUCUGCUGUGAAAACUCGAGGCUCAACCUCGAGCUGUCGGCGGAAACCAUCUGGCUAGAGUCCGGAAGAGGAGAGUGGAAUUCCUGGGUGUAGCGGUGAAAUGCGCAGAUAUCAGGAAGAACACCUAUGGCGAAGGCAGCUCUCUGGGACGGUACUGACGCUGAGACGCGAAAGCGUGGGGAGCGAACAGG